rnacentral:tRNA from 1 species
GCGGGCAUAGUUCAGUAGGUUAGAACGCCACACUGUCACUGUGGAGGUCAGGGAUUCGAGUUCCCUUGUUCGCG